UACAGAGGUCCCAAGCGUUGUUCGGAUUCACUGGGCGUAAAGGGUGCGUAGGCGGUCGGGCAAGUCUGAUGUGAAAUCUCACAGCUUAACUGUGAAACUGCAUUGGAUACUAUUCGGCUUGAGAGAUGGAGGGGGGACUGGAAUUCUUGGUGUAGCAGUGAAAUGCGUAGAUAUCAAGAGGAACACCAGUGGCGAAGGCGAGUCCCUGGACAACUUCUGACGCUGAGGCACGAAAGCUAGGGGAGCAAACAGG
rnacentral:rRNA from 1 species